GGAUGUAGCUAAGUGGUAGAGUGCUUGCCUAGCAUGUGUGAGGACCUGGGUUCAAUUCCCAGUACUG
rnacentral:tRNA from 1 species